rnacentral:rRNA from 1 species
GAUGAACGCUGGCGGCGUGCUUAACACAUGCAAGUCGAACGGGAUCCCAGGGGUGCUUGCACUUUUUGGUGAGAGUGGCGAACGGGUGAGUAACACGUGAGUAACCUGUCCUUUUCUUUGGGAUAAGCAUUCGAAAGGGUGUUUAAUACCUUAUGUUCUGUCUGCCUCGCAUGGGGUGGGUGGGAAAGGCUUUGGCCGGAUUUGGGUGGGCUCGCGGUCUAUCGGCUUGUUGGUGGGGUGAUGGCUGACUAAGGCUUUGACGGGUAGCCGGCCUGAGAGGGUGGGCGAGCACGUUGGGCCUGAGAGGCGGUGCGGAAUGCUGCGGACGGCAGCGGGGGGGAGUAUUGGAGAAUGGGGGAAAGCCUGAUGAAGCGAGGCCGCGUGGGGGAUGGAGGGGUUCGGGGUGUAAACUUCUUUUGCUCGGAACAAGGCAUGCCAGUGGGUGUGUUGAGUGUAGGGGUUGAUUAGCGCCGGCUAACUACGUG